rnacentral:rRNA from 1 species
AGAGACGCUGGCGGCGUGCCUAACACAUGCAAGUCGAACGGAGCUGAGAAGCUUGCUUUUCAGCUUAGUGGCGGACGGGUGAGUAACGCGUGAGUAACCUGCCUCCGAGAGUGGAAUAACGUUUUUGAAAAGAACGCUAAUACCGCAUAACGUAUCAGCAUCGCAUGGUGUUGAUACCAAAGAUUUUUAUCGCUCGGAGAUGGACUCGCGUCCGAUUAGUUAGUUGGUGAGGUAACGGCUCACCAAGACCGCGAUCGGUAGCCGGACUGAGAGGUUGAUCGGCCACAUUGGGACUGAGACACGGCCCAGACUCCUACGGGAGGCAGCAGUGGGGGAUAUUGCGCAAUGGGGGCAACCCUGAACCGCAGCAACGCCGCGUGAAGGAUGAAGGUUUUCGGAUUGUAAACUUCUUUUAUCAGGGACGAAAAACGACGGUACCUGAUGAAUAAGCUCCGGCUAACUACGUGCCAGCAGCAGC